CAAUAGAAGCCGCGGAGAAGCUGGGAACAAGAUCUGAACCGUUAAUAAUGGUAGUGAUGAACUGCUUACCCGAUUCUGCCAACUCCCAUGUCAUACAAGCAGCUACACCCAUACAAGUAAUUGUAAAUACAACAGGAUGAUAAAAGAAAAAGGGAAUCUGAACGAAGGAGGAAGUUGGCAAACCUGGGGCAAAUGUGAUGCAAGUGCUAGAGGAGAACUCCGUUUGCUCUCGAAGAAUAUAUGUUAAUAAAGCAGCGGUUCCACCACCAAGAGAAUGACCAACAAUCUGAAAUAUCAAAAUCUAAGAAUUAGAAAUGUACUUUACAUGGAAAGUAGAUAAAGAAUAAAAAUCAGAGUAUUGUUCUUGAUUUUGUAAUUCAUAAGUACUUGGUUUGUACAUCUUUUUAGCAUAGGUUAUCUUUUACUUCUUACUUCGACUUUGACCGUCUUAGAAGUCUCAUCUUAAACUAGGAAAGAUCAGGUGGACGAUGAUGAUCUAUCUUUUCAUGAUUUAAAUUUAACCUCAUCUCAUCAUCAUGCUUAUGUUGAAGACAAACAGAUAAUCAUUUCUUGGAAUAUGUAUGUAUCAAAAGUGUUUUCACUUGAAGAUCUUAA